GACGAACGCUGGCGGCGUGCCUAAUACAUGCAAGUCGAGCGAAGUUUUUCUGGUGCUUGCACUAGAAAAACUUAGCGGCGAACGGGUGAGUAACACGUAAAGAACCUGCCUCAUAGACGGGGACAACUAUUGGAAACGAUAGCUAAUACCGGAUAACAGCAUAAAUCGCAUGAUAUAUGUUUAAAAGUUGGUUUCGGCUAACACUAUGAGAUGGCUUUGCGGUGCAUUAGCUAGUUGGUGGGGUAAAGGCCUACCAAGGCGACGAUGCAUAGCCGACCUGAGAGGGUGAUCGGCCACACUGGGACUGAGACACGGCCCAGACUCCUACGGGAGGCAGCAGUAGGGAAUCUUCCGCAAUGGGCGAAAGCCUGACGGAGCAACGCCGCGUGAGUGAAGAAGGAUUUCGGUUCGUAAAGCUCUGUUGUUAGGGAAGAAUGAUUGUGUAGUAACUAUACACAG
rnacentral:rRNA from 1 species